AGAGUUUGAUCAUGGCUCAGGAUGAACGCUAGCGGCAGGCUUAACACAUGCAAGUCGAGGGGCAUCAUUGGAGUAGCAAUACUUCAGAUGGCGACCGGCGCACGGGUGCGUAACGCGUAUGCAACCUACCUUUAACAGGGGGAUAACACUGAGAAAUCGGUACUAAUACCCCAUAACAUCGCAGACGGCAUCGUUUGCGGUUGAAAACUCCGG
rnacentral:rRNA from 1 species